AAACUGUCGCUCCGGAUAACUUUCAGAAGAGCUUUAUUAACUGCUCCCACAAGGUUGCAUGACUCAUCCGUAAUGUGCACUCUCUCUGCUUUGUACUGCAAACCAGAGCCGUCUUCCUCCUUUUCCUGCAGCACACUGUUAUUAGAGUCUCCAGCAGUUUCAUCUACAGAGUGUACAUCACUUCUUGAUAUAAACUCAUUAUGUGCUCUUAUGAGAGCAGGAGAAAUGGUUUCAUUAUCUCUGUAAGAAUCAGGUAAAGACUCUGCAGGGGGGUUGGUAAGGUUUUUAAUACAAGUGUCGAAAUCUUGGACUUCACCAAGAACUGCAAUUCCUGGUUUCUCCUUGCAUACUGGCUCAGCAUACUUGCUACUUUUCAAGAUUUUAGCAGCUGCAGAUUUACUUAAUGUCUCAAGUUUGUUAAAGAGACUGCAGUGAGAUGAAUUCACCAAAGUGGUCCUCUGUUGUACCUUGGUAACUUCAGGAAUGCAUUCUCCAUUUUUCACCGGUUCAACUGCAACAACAUCAUUGAUGUCUUUUGAGCUAGAACUUGGUAAGUCAGCAUCCAAUUUCACAACUUUGUUGCUUUUAAGAAAAUACUCCUCUUCUAUCAACCUUUCUGGUUGUAUUUUGUUGUCUACUGGUAAAUUAUCCUUACCUUUUACUGUUAGCCAGCUGGAGGGAGAAAAGGAGCUGGGAUAACUGCUGGUAGAAAGUCUUGAGGAGAUCAUCUUCUUAUUUCUCUGUUGCAUGUCUUGUGUACUCAGUAAAAACAGAUGUUCAUGUAUCUUUUUUCCUUCUUUCUCAUGUCUGAUCUCCUCAAAGCUCUCUUUCCUUCUGUAUUUCCUCAUUUUUUUGUGAUUCAAAUUGUCUCUCUUUGUAGAAUCCAGCAAUAACUCCUGCUGACAUGUAAGAAUGGAGUAAUUAUUACCUUUAAGUUUCGGGACUGCGGAAACAUCCUGUUGCUUUUCCUCCCGAUGUCCUGCCUUAAGGUCCGGAAUAUGAUGGGAUCUCAAAACACUGGAUUGGAUAUACUUACAUUCUUUGGAUGCAUAAUGGAAGUUUGUUUGCUCCUUUUGAGAACUAAAUUGUUUUUAUCCAGAGGGAACUCUGCUACCCCACUUAAAGUGGAGAAGUCUGAAGUCAUUAGGAAAUGCAUAAGCAUCAGAGAAAGACCUAAAGCUCAGAAGCACAAAAAGCUGGAGAACACCUGCUCCUACACUGAAAAAUGCAGGAAUUCCAGUUUUCAACUGAAAAAGCAUAAAUAUAACAGAACUCUUUAUAAUUUUAAGAGUCAAAUUUAGGUGACAGUAUUUAAAAUGAAGCUGUCAUAUUACUAUGUAACAUAUUUCAUAGAAUUAUAGGAAAAGCAGAUUUGGAAGGGACUCAUCAAGAUCAAAGGCAACUCCUGG
rnacentral:lncRNA from 1 species